rnacentral:rRNA from 1 species
CACCGCGGUUAUACGAAAGACCCAAGUUGAUAGAAACGGCGUAAAGGGUGGUUAAGGAAACAUAAAAUAAAGCUAAAGGCCCUCUAAGCCGUCAUACGCACCCCGAGGCCACGAAGCCCAAACACGAAAGUAGCUUUAAACAAAACACUACCUGAACCCACGAAAGCUAAGAAA